GGAUCAGUAGGUUGGUCGUGCCACCGGUACGUACUGGUCUCACUGAUUCCUCCUUCCUGAAGAACCGUAAUGCCAUUAAUUUGGUGUUGCGGGGAAGCAGGACUGUUACUUUGAAAAAAUUAGAGUGUUUAAAGCAAGCUAACGCUUGAAUACAUUAGCAUGGAAUAAUGAAAUAGGACGAUCGAUCCUAUUUUGUUGGUUUCUAGGAUUGACGUA
rnacentral:rRNA from 1 species